CCUGAGAUACUGAACCUCAGUCCCUUAUCAGGAAGGUAACUGUUCACGAAACCCCAGGGACAGAGUAGCAAGGGCUGAGGGAGGGGUUCUAUCACCCUGUCACUCCUGCUCCUUCCUCUCCCCCACCCCAAACCCACCCUGUAAUACACAUACUUUCUCUCCCUUUCAUAGGGGCCAUUGCCACUUCCAAAGUCAAUGUAAGAUCUUCAGAAGAAUUGUGGGAAGUUCUUAUCCUGUCCUGACACAGGGCUCCUGACACCCCUGUCAUUUCCUGGCCGAGAGCAGUGUCUUUUGUUCUCAUGAAGAAACUCCAGAUGGGCUCUUGGAUAAAGGCUGUUCACCAGACUGACAAAGCCGUGGUUAGAAGCUUGGAGUUCUCAGCCUCACCCAGGGACAAGGGUUGAAAAUGGAGUUAAUCAUUAACCAUGAUGAAGCUCCACCAAAAAAACCAUAGGAUGGGACUUAGGAAGCUUCUAGGUUUGCAAACAUCCAUACCUGGAGGGUGAUGCACCCCAAUCUAUGGGUUUACAAGCUUCUGUGCUGGGAACCCUAACAGAGCUCACCCUAUGUAUCUCUUCAUUUGGCCAUUUGUCUGUAUCCUUUAUCAGAUCGUUUAAUAUACCAGUAAAUGUAAGUAGGUGUUUCCCUGAGAUCUGUUAACUGAUCGAGCAAAUUAAUCAGACCUGAGGAAGAAGAAGGGUCAUUGAAACCUGCAAUUUGUAGCAAAAUCAGACAGAAGUUGUGGGUAACCUUGCGGCCUACUACUUGCAACUGGCAUCUGAAGGGGGUCAAUCGUGUGUGACUGAACCUGAAACCUGUGGAAUCUGACUCUAUCUCCAGGUUGGAGUGCUGAGUUAAGUUGUAGGACAGCCAGCUAGUGUAGUGGAGAACAACCCACACAUUUGAUGAUCAGAAGGGUCAGAGCGAAGUGUUGUGUCAGAGCGAAAAACAAGAAUGAGUUAAGCAGGUGACACACAGGAGGAAGGAUUCUAAACUCAGCGACAGGAACACUUACAAAAGUAUGCAUGUUUGAGGAAACAAAUAACUUACUAUCACGAUAUCACUCAACCCGAGGCAGUUUAGGCUGAUGUGGAGAGACUGUUCCAGGGCGUGGCCGCUGUCAGACAUGCAGGCAAACUGGACCAGGGCCUGAACAGAGACUGUAAUCAAUGACAGUUCUGACAUAAACUAGCACCCCUCCCCUGCUACAUGCUGCAUGCUGGUUCCUGGGACAGGCCUUUGUCCUGACCUGGUCCAGCAUGUGAUUUCCCAUACCUGGUAGCUUUCACAUGCUAGUACCCAUGACUGUCCCCCCUUUAUCCUAUAUGAUUCUUUGCUCCUGCCAAGCUGUGUGGAAUCCAUUUUGAGUUGAAGCCACCUAAGAUGUAUUUAAUGAGCUAUGUCCAUUAAUAAACUAUAUAAAUUACCA